UGCACGGGACUUCCGGGGUAGGGCCUGUCGGAGCGGAAGUGCCGUGUGGCGCGCGGGGUCUGGUCCGGGCGGUGGUCGGCGGGCUUGGGUCCCUCGACACCCCGGGGGCGCGCGGAGGCUCGAGAGGGCGUCGGGUGCCUGCCCUGGCCUCGCGGCCAUGAACCUGGAGCCGCUGCGCAAACGCGUCCGGCAGUACCUGGACCAGCAACAGUAUCAAAGUGCUCUGUUUUGGGCAGACAAGGUAGCUUCACUCUCUCAUGAGGAGCCCCAGGAUGUUUAUUGGUUGGCUCAGUGCCUUUACCUCACAGCGCAGUACCACCGAGCAGCCCAUGCGCUCCGGUCACGCAAGCUGGACAAAUUGUAUGAAGCUUGCCGAUACCUUGCAGCUAGAUGCCACUAUGCUGCAAAAGAGCACCAGCAGGCUCUGGACAUCCUUGACAUGGAGGAGCCAAUUAACAGAAGGCUCUUUGAGAAAUACCUGAAGGAUGACAAUGGCUCGAGAGACCCUUCCAGUGACUGGGAGAUGUCACAGUCUUCCAUAAAGAGCUCGAUUUGUCUCCUGAGAGGGAAGAUCUAUGAUGCUUUAGAUAAUCGCACCCUGGCUACCUACAGUUACAAAGAGGCUCUGAAACUGGAUGUCUACUGCUUUGAAGCCUUUGACCUUUUGACAUCACACCACAUGCUGACAGCACAGGAAGAAAAAGAACUUCUGGACUCCCUGCCUCUUAACAAGCUCUGUGCUGAAGAACAAGAGUUGCUGCGAUUUGUAUUUGAGAACAAAUUAAAGAAGUAUAAUAAGCCCAGUGAAACGGUCAUUCCCGAGUCAGUGGACGGCUUGCAGGAGAAUCUGGACGUGGUAGUGUCUUUAGCUGAGAGACACUAUUACAACUGUGAUUUUAAGAUGUGCUACAAGCUUACUUCUACAGUGAUGGAGAAAGAUCCUUUCCAUGCAAACUGUUUACCUGUGCACAUAGGAACUCUUGUGGAGCUGAAUAAAGCGAAUGAACUUUUCUAUCUUUCUCACAAACUGGUGGAUUUAUAUCCGAGUAAUCCUGUGUCUUGGUUUGCGGUGGGAUGUUACUAUCUCAUGGUUGGUCAUAAAAAUGAGCAUGCCAGAAGAUAUCUCAGCAAAGCUACCACGUUGGAGAAGACCUACGGUCCUGCCUGGAUAGCCUACGGGCAUUCCUUCGCUGUGGAGAGUGAGCACGACCAAGCAAUGGCUGCUUACUUCACAGCAGCACAGCUGAUGAAGGGCCAGCUCGAGAGAAAAGGGAAUGAGACCAAAGGGAGACUUGAACACAGAGCCUUCUACUCUCCGUGCCCGUGAAGAAUGGACGCCUUAUAGUAAAAUCCCAGCACCUCACUGUUGCAGCUGUGUUCGCUGCUGUAUAUGCAGAUCUGAGGCUAGCUGUUUCUCCCUCUGAUUUUAUGUGUUCUGAAUCUGCUAAUUUUUAGAUGUGCAAUUAUUGUAUCUCCUUGAUGCCCUGAGUUAUUUAUCACUAGAAUGUCCCCCCUUGUCUCUGGUAACAGCCCUGUUCCAGAGUCUGUUUCACCUGGUCAUGUGGUCACACCAGCUCUCACGUGUUACUUUGCCAUCCUUUCAGGAUCACCCUGCUGUAGUAUAUAAACUGUCAGUCAGUCCCUUGCAGUCUCUGAAUAGAAGUAGAAGCAACAUACGGUUAUGUCAUUUUUUUUUCUUCUCGCUCCAGUCCCCCUCUCCGGCUACUGGUUAAGUCAUUUUUAAAACUAUUUUUUACUGUAGUAUGUAUUCACUUCCACGUAACAUGGUGAGAUAGACUUAUUUCAGCCAUUAGUUCGUUUUCUACCGGUCAUGUUAAAUAAUUUACAGUUUGUAUUUUAGUUCUUUUGAGUUUUGUUGUUUACAGUGACUUUCUUAGUGAUCAUCCGUGGGUAAGCAACAUCUUAAAGCAGUGUAGUUUCAAGUACUUCACUUUAACUCUGUCCCUACGUGCCUCCUUUGUGUUAUUGUGAAUCAACUUAUACCUCAUAGUUGUAUCUGUUACCAUGUUUUAUGCUGAUGUUGUUUUGUAAUCACAUAGAAGAGUUGCAAACAUAGUGACAGUUCACUGCCUUCUGGUCACCACUGCAGUCACGUCAUUUAUGUUGACUGACCCACUUAUUUUCCACGUAGAUACAGUUCACAUGUAGAUGAGUUACCAUCUGUGUCCUUACAGUUCCACAUAAGGGACUUGCUUUAGUUUUCUUCAGUAGAUUUUCUAGUGCUGGAUUCUCUGUUAUACCUAGCUCAUAUGGCUACUUGUACCUGUUUGUUUGUAAGCCCUUUUAUCAUAGUUUUUUUAACUCUAUUUAUUCCACUUUGGAAUAGUGAUUAUUUGGUUCUAUUUGGUUCUCCAUUAUAAGUUCUGUUUGGGAGUUCCUGAAUGGAUGGCUCAGCAGUUAAGAGCCAUCUUAAUUUCUCUUGACUAGGUUCAGUUUCCAGUAGAGCUCACAGCUGCCUGUACUUCCAGCUUUGGGGAAUCAGAUGUCUGCUUUUGGCCUUCACAGGCUCCUGCACACAUGAUACACUAGUCAUAUGCAUGUAUUUAAUUAAUUAAUUUCUUUUUUUAAAUUGCUGUCCUCUGAUGGGGUAUUGUUCUUAUAGUUUUGUAAACUUAAUUUUCUUUAGUUCUUUGAAUAUUAUCCUAGCUUAUUUAAAGUAUUGUCUUUUAAGUCCAGUAUCUCCUCUUCUGCUAGGACGGUUUCUGUUGACUGCUUUUUUUUUUUCCUGUUCGGACUGUAUUUAGAGUUAGAAAAAAGUGAAUGAUAGGAUCUAAAGCUGACAAAUUUCUAUUGCAUUACAAAGUUUCAAGCGUUGAAUAUGUGAAAUUUUCAAAUCUUUUCAGGUGUCACUUGCCAAUGCUAUAUAUUGGAUUAGAAUAUGGUCUGACCAAUAACUCGAAACUGGCUGAGCGGUUCUUUGGCCAAGCUCUGAGCAUCGCCCCAGAAGACCCAUUUGUCAUCCAUGAGGUUGGAGUGGUUGCCUUUCAGAAUGGAGAAUGGAAAACAGCAGAAAAAUGGUUUCUCGAUGCUUUGGAAAAAAUUAAAGCAAUUGGAAAUGAGGUCACAGUUGACAAAUGGGAACCUUUGUUGAACAACUUGGGGCAUGUCUGCAGAAAACUUAAGAAAUAUGCUGAGGCUUUGGAUUACCACAGGCAGGCACUGGUGCUAAUCCCUCAGAACGCAUCCACCUACUCUGCUAUAGGGUACAUCCACAGUCUGAUGGGCAACUUUGAAAACGCUGUGGACUAUUUCCACACAGCUCUUGGUCUCAGGCGAGACGACACAUUUUCUGUUACAAUGCUUGGUCACUGCAUUGAAAUGUACAUCGGGGAUUCGGAAGCUUAUAUCGGAGCAGACAUUAAAGACAAAUUAAAGUGCUAUGACUUCGAUGUGCAUACAAUGAAAACACUAAAAAACAUCAUUUCGCCUCCAUGGGAUUUCAGGGACUUUGAAGUAGAAAAGCAGAACACAGAGGAAGCGGGACUUGCACCUCUGCAAAACUCCACUAAAGCUCCAGAGUCCAGACCUAACUUGGAAGAGACUUUUGAAAUUGAAAUGAACGAAAGUGACAUGAUGCUAGAGACGUCUAUGUCAGACCACAGCACAUAGCCACAGCACUGAACCUGACAGAGGUCCAGGGCCCACCCUCAUGUGCCAGAGUAGGUCAAUGCUCCCCUGCAGCCUUGCUACGUCCUAAGAAUUUUCCAGUUCCUGAUGUGACUCCAGACUACAUCUCUACAUUUAGGACCAGCAGCCUGCAGUAACAGUGGGACAGCAGGCCUUGGCAACAGAUGUUUUCCGAUUUUCUGAACCUACAAAGUAGUUAGUUACGUGUAGCAGAAUAAAGAAGGUCAACUAUUCGUUAUCUUUUUCAUUGUGUCUUUUUCAAUAAAUUUAUAUUUGGGAAUAACUAGAA